ensembl:lncRNA
CUUGGACAUCUGGUGCUGCGUACAACCCGAGCGAAGGGACCGCCCGGUUUAACCAUCACAGCGCACGGGUGUCUCUCUAGUCUCUAUGCAAUUGACUCAUUAGCUCACUGCCGACUCUGAUGAUGCAUUAUUCAUGUGGUGGACGGGUGGGGCAGUCAGAGUGUGUGUCACACAGCGUGGUUACAUGGAUUCGAAUAACUGGCUUAGUCGGACUGAAAUUGAAUUAUCCGUUUCAUGUAAACACCUUUGUCCGACUAUGUGCGGUCCGACUACGAUCUGAUUAACACCCCUGGAUAACUCGAUCCGAUCCAGUUGAUAGUUCGACUAUUGCGGCAUGUAACAGUGAAUCGGAUAAGGAACUGGACUUUGCGUCUUUGCGCAUGCUUGAGAUCCCGCCGCCCUCCUCCCUCCCAGGUCGUGACCCGGAAGUCGAAAGAGACUCCUGGGAGCCUGGCCGGCAGAAAACAAACAAACAACGCUAUGGACAACACAAGAGUCCCUAGUAGAGCACAACGGCGUAGAUUUGGGUGCUCAGUUGCCAACUACCAUGGAUACUACAAUGGACCCGGAAGAGACGCUGCUCGGAGGCUGAUCUGGAACCUCCUCACCUAAGUCAACUCCACCACCUUCUACUCCACUGCGUGCUACCUCCUCAGUUAGGUCGACUCUAGCUUGCACUCCACCACCUUCCACUACUCCACUGCGUGCUACAAUUACAGAUGAUCUACCUGGAACAAGGACCCAGCAAACAAGGCGAAUGAGAGACGUCGAUGUGUUGGUAAACCAGAUGCAAGUCAUGACUCAACAAUGGAAGGAGGACAUGGCAAGAAGUGAGGCCCGGGAGGAACGGUUGAUCGCCAGCAUCCUCCGCACUGACAGUAUGAUUGAGAAGCUGAUGCAGAAAAUGGAUAACAUUCAAUCUCAACCAAACACAUUCUCACCACCACACCACCACCACCACAACAUCAACCACCGCAAUAUGCGUAUUAUGGUUAUGGAUGCCUUACUUAUUUGCACUACCGCCUGAAAAGCACCUUACCGUUCAUAUAGCACAAUUUCUACACUCUACCUCAGUGUGUGUGUGUGUGUGUGUGUGUGUGUGUGUGUGUGUGUGUGUAUAUAUAUAUAUAUA